UGUGGCAGGGGGUUGGAGAUUCAUUGUCCUUGGGGUCCCUUCCAACCCUGGCCAUUCUGUGAUUCUGUGAUGGUGGCUAUGCCCAACUGAUGGAUGUGUAGGAAUCUUGAGGUUUCUUACGGUUUUUAGGCGCGUCCAAAACUUGGGCAGGUCACAUAAUUGCCUAGAAAUACAAAGCUCUCACUGAAGUGCUGUUACUGUAAAUAUACUUUUCCUGUCAUUCUUUAGCAUUAAAAUAAUGCAUAGUUGCGUUAGCCUUUAAAACUGUAGGUUGUUUCUUGAGGAAUCAUUUUCAGGUAAGUUAUGAAGACUUUGCAACUGACAAGUUUUCCAUGCAAAUAUUUGCCCUCUUUCCCAAAAUGCCUUCUUAUCUCCUCAACAGUGUUAUAAAUUUCAGCUAAUCCUCCAACAGCAGCUGUUACAGUUCCAGAUAAGCAACUUUUGAAGUGGUGCAGCUCCAAGCUGCUCUCCUGCUCUACAGGAGUUCAGAUGGUCUGUUUCUGGAAGAGCUCAUCAAGGUACAGAACAUGCCAUUUCAGUUCUCUUUUGCUGGGCUCUGGGAGCAACCCUGAAUGUUUUUCACUGGUUUUCGGCAAGGUUGAGCAAAUUCUGGGUCUACAGAAGCAUCACAAGUUUAGGUUUACUUCACCUGUCUUUAAAAAUCUCUCUUGGGUACUUGGAAGAGCAGUGAAAGGAUUGGUUUUCUUAAACCUAAAGGUAUAGUAGUGGUAGAAUCUCAAGGGAACAGAGACGUUUUAGGUGAAGGCGUUUGUUGAUUGCUAAAAAGAUUUUAGGAAAAGCCACCAGUGUGUGAACAAAGAUCACUUAAUGAAGGAAUAGCGUUUUGUGAAUUUCUGACUGGGCUUAUCUACCCUUUGGCAGGCACUAACAUGAGCCUGGACCACCACAACCAAGGAGACUGCCUUCCCUCCCCAUGUCUUGAGGAGAGCAGACACUGAUGUGGGCUAGCAUGAGCCAGGGUCUCUGUGAGUCACACUUCUAACAGCAGCCUUCACCACUGCAGUAAGAGCCUCAGACUGCAGUAAUCCCCACCGUAGGGGGAUUAAAGACUUCUGGUGAUUUUGAGUGCCUUCAUCCUGAGGUUUCGGUGUGCUUUGGAUUGUGCCUCAUUCAUCACAUGGAACAACUCCAACUUUCAAUACAAAAGAUACAAGAGAAGCUUCUCCCAAGUUUAGCUCCACAAUUCUUUUCUGAUACGAGCUGUUUGCUAUUAGGGUUAGCCUCAAACCCACAAAAGGUUGUGAUCAAUUACCUGCAGUUCCCACUCUGUGCCUGUGAUGUACAUCUACACAUCUGUCAUGGAAUCAUUCAGACUGGAAAAGAUCAAGUCCAACCAUCAGCCCUUCCCCACCACGCCCAUUAACCAUGUCCCUGAAGUGCCACAUCUACAGGUUACUUGGAACACUUCCACGACUGCUGCCUUCACUGCUUAUACCUGUGCACAACUUCAACUAUAACGGAUGGGCCUCUCAGUGGUACUGAAGCAACCAAAUACGUUGAAUUGUAAGGAUGGAAACGCUCAUAGUGCCAGGGGACUCUGAAGCCAAGUGCAAACGCUGCCAUGUUGCCAGUCCAGACGUGGAACAGCUCUCCUGCAGUCAGCGCUGCCUCCUGCUGUACUGCUGUGCCCAGCAUGUAAGAGGUUUGGCUGAUGAACUACCUGCUCAUCCUGGCCAGCACUGUGGGAGCAGAUUUAAGCCUGUAAUGGACAGACCAGCUCAGAGAGACACUGGUGUGGGUGUGGAAAAAGAGUAGUUUGUUUCUUAAUGUAAAGCAGAGUCCUCUGCUUGCCGGUUAAUAAAUAUUUGGCCAGAACAAAACUGUA